GAUGAGAGGAGGAUGAGUGGAUUAGUGGAUGAGAGGAUGAUGAAAGGAUGAGAGGAGGAUGAGUGGAUUAGAGGAUGAGAGGAUGAUGAAAGGAUGAGAGGAGGAUGAGAGGAGGAUGAGUGGAUUAGUGGAUGAGAGGAUGAUGAAAGGAUGAGAGGAGGAUGAGUGGAUUAGUGGAUGAGAGGAUGAUGAAAGGAUGAGAGGAGGAUGAGAGGAGGAUGAGAGGAUUAGUGGAUGAGAGGAGGAUGAGUAGAUGAGAGGAGGAUGAGUGGAUUAGUGGAUGAGAGGAUGAUGAAAGGAUGAGAGGAGGAUGAGUGGAUUAGUGGAUGAGAGGAUGAUGAAAGGAUGAGAGGAGGAUGAGAGGAGGAUGAGUGGAUUAGUGAGUGAGAGGAGGAUGAGUGGAUUAGUGGAUGAGGAGGAUGAGAGGAUGAAAGGAUUAGUGGAUGAGAGGAGGAUGAGAGGAUGAUGAAAGGAUGAGAGGAGGAUGAGUGGAUUAGUGGAUGAGAGGAUGAUGAAAGGAUGAGAGGAGGAUGAGUAGAUGAGAGGAGGAUGAGAGGAUGAUGAGUAGGAGAGGAGGAUGAGUGGAUGAGAGGAGGAUGAGUGGAUGAUGAAAGGAUGAGAGGAGGAUGAGUAGAUGAGAGGAGGAUGAGUGGAUUAGUGGAUGAGAGGAGGAUGAGUGGAUGAUGAAAGGAUGAGAGGAGGAUGAGUAGAUGAGAGGAGGAUGAGUGGAUUAGUGGAUGAGAGGAGGAUGAGAGGAUGAUGAAAGGAUGAUAGGAGGAUGAGAGGAGGAUGAGUGGCGCCGCCCUGUGGUGGAAACAGUGUAAUGAUCUCAUCAGUAUGACAACAAUCUGAUCAUAUUUAUGACCUCAGAGCUCAUCAAUCAAUUCUCACACUAAUGAUUAUUGUUUUAGCUGAUCAAACUGAUUCAUUAUAUCAACACUACACUCUAAUGUUUAUCUUUAUUAUUGAUCAGUGUUUAUCUUUAUUAUUGAUCAGUGUUUAUCUUUAUUGAUCAGUUUAUCUUUUUCAUUAUUAUUGACCAAAGCAAACAGCUGAUAGAUCAAUAAACAGUGAAUCUGUCAGAAAGAAGAAUAUUAAGUCUGAUUGUUAAAAUAAUAAAAAAAAAGAGAAUACAGACAAUGGAUCAAUAUAUCAGGAAAACUCAUCGCUGAUCAAUAUUCACUGUUUGAUCAGUUAUUAAUACUGAUCAAUAGGAAAUAUUGAUAAUAUAAACCAGUGAAGCAUAUUUAUUUGCCUUUCAUUGAGGUUCCUUGAUAUAGAAAUGUGUUUUGUAUCUGAGGACAAUAGAACCAAUAACUGAUAUAUUGAUUGGUGACAGGAAGGAGACGCUGAGAGUUCAGUGGUUUUAUUGAAAAAGACACUCUGGUUACAGCGACACGAUCAGACGGGAAUAAAAAAAUAAAAUUAACUCAGGAGAAUCCCCAACGUGGUUCAGGUUCAGAGAGGACCACACAAACCCACAGAGACCACUUCUAUUUACAGACCAGAGUCGGGACCCGGGA